rnacentral:rRNA from 1 species
AUUGAACGCUGGCGGCAUGCCUUACACAUGCAAGUCGAACGGUAACAGGUCUUCGGAUGCUGACGAGUGGCGAACGGGUGAGUAAUACAUCGGAACGUGCCCGAUCGUGGGGGAUAACGCAGCGAAAGCUGUGCUAAUACCGCAUACGAUCUACGGAUGAAAGCGGGGGAUCGCAAGACCUCGCGCGGACGGAGCGGCCGAUGGCAGAUUAGGUAGUUGGUGGGAUAAAAGCUUACCAAGCCGACGAUCUGUAGCUGGUCUGAGAGGACGACCAGCCACACUGGGACUGAGACACGGCCCAGACUCCUACGGGAGGCAGCAGUGGGGAAUUUUGGACAAUGGGCGAAAGCCUGAUCCAGCCAUGCCGCGUGCAGGAUGAAGGCCUCGGUUGG